UCCUGGUGGCUCAGAUGGUAAAGCGUCUGCCUGCAAUGCGGGAGACCCGGGUUUGAUUCCUGGGUCAGGAA
rnacentral:tRNA from 1 species